AUUGCCCUAGUAACGGGCGAGUGAAGCGGCAACAGCUCAAAUUUGAAAUCUGGCCCUCGGGUCCGAGUUGUAAUUUGUAGAGGAUGUUUUUGGCGCGGUGCCUUCCGAGUUCCCUGGAACGGGACGCCUUAGAGGGUGAGAGCCCCGUACGGUUGGACACCAAGCCUCUGUAAAACUCCUUCGACGAGUCGAGUAGUUUGGGAAUGCUGCUCUAAAUGGGAGGUAAAUUUCUUCUAAAGCUAAAUAUUGGCCAGAGACCGAUAGCGCACAAGUAGAGUGAUCGAAAGAUGAAAAGCACUUUGAAAAGAGGGUUAAAUAGCACGUGAAAUUGUUGAAAGGGAAGCGUUUGCGACCAGACCUUUUCCUUGGGGAUCAUCCGGUGUUCUCACCGGUGCACUUCCCUUGGUUUAGGCCAGCAUCGGUUUCUGUAGGGGGAUAAAAACUUGAGGAAUGUAGCUCCCUCGGGAGUGUUAUAGCCUCUUGUAUAAUACCCUUGCGGGGACCGAGGACCGCGCUUCGGCAAGGAUGCUGGCAUAAUGGUCGUCAACGACCCGUCUUGAAACACGGACCAAGGAGUCGAACAUUUGUGCGAGUGUUAGGGUGUCAAACCCUCACGCGUAAUGAAAGUGAACGGAGGUGAGAGCCCUUACGGGUGCAUCAUCGACCGAUCCUGAUGUCUUCGGAUGGAUUUGAGUAAGAGCAUAACUGUUCGGACCCGAAAGAUGGUGAACUAUGCGUGGAUAGGGUGAAGCCAGAGGAAACUCUGGUGGAGGCUCGCAGCGGUUCUGACGUGCAAAUCGAUCGUCAAAUCUGCGCAUGGGGGCGAAAGACUUAUCGAACCAUCUAGUAGCUGGUUACCGCCGAAGUUUCCCUCAGGAUAGCAGUGUUGUUCUUCAGUUUUAUGAGGUAAAGCGAAUGAUUAGGGACUCGGGGGCGCUUUUUAGCCUUCAUCCAUUCUCAACUUUAAAUAUGUAAGAAGCCCUUGUUACUUAAUUGAACGUGGGCAUUCAAUGUACCAACACUAGUGGGCCAUUUUUGUAAGCAGAACUGGCGAUGCGGAUGAACCGAACGCGGGUUAAGGUGCCGAGGGACCUCAUCAGACCCACAAAAGGGGUAGCCAUUUAGACAUAGGACGGGGCCUGGAAGUCGAAUCCCUAAGACUGGUAACACUCCCAUCAAU
rnacentral:rRNA from 1 species